rnacentral:pre_miRNA from 1 species
AGACGGAGCGAGACGAUCCCUCCGAAUUUGCCGAAUGAGUGGUGGUCUAGUGCACGGUUCGUUCAAGUUGUGACUAGAUCCACACUCAUUAAGCACGUUCGGACAUCG